CCUACGGGAGGCUGCAGUGGGGAAUAUUGGGCAAUGGGCGCAAGCCUGACCCAGCAACGCCGCGUGAAGGAAGAAGGCUUUCGGGUUGUAAACUUCUUUUCUUAGGGACGAAGAAUGUGACGGUUCCUCAGUAAUAAGCCACGUCUAACUACGUGCCAGCAGCCGCGGUAAUACGUAGGUGGCAAGCGUUAUCCGGAUUUAUUGGGUGUACAGGGCGUGUAGGCGGGAAAGCAAGUCAGAUGUGAAAACUCAGGGCUCAACCCUGAGCCUGCAUUGGAAACUGUUUUUCUUGAGUGCUGGAGAGGCGAUCGGAAUUCCGUGUGUAGCGGUGAAAUGCGUAGAUAUACGGAGGAACACCAGUGGCGAAGGCGGAUUGCUGGACAGUAACUGACGCUGAGGCGCGAAAGCGUGGGGAGCAAACAGGAUUAGAUACCCUUGUAGUC
rnacentral:rRNA from 1 species